GCCGGGGAUUAAUCUCAAAAAUAGGUGUUCCCCUUUCAAUUCAAACGAAACCCUAGCUAUCUCUGUUUCUUCACAGACAACCAUCCGAAUCAUAAAUCAACAUCAAUAAACAUACAGGCCUUUUAGGUACCCUUAUGAUUUCUAUGACCAAAGUUGGUUACCCUAUAAUGGAAAGGGAUGGAGUGUAAUUAGUACAACGAAAUAUCCUCAAAGCCAGAGAUACUACCGGCCUUCAGCUAUUGUGAUGAGCACGGCUGCAACGCCCAUCAACGAAAGCGACCCAUUGGAAUUUUCUGUGUUUUUCCCUAACCAGAAUGCUGUUUUAUAUUUUUAUAUGUACUUCACAGAAACUCAAUUACUCCAACCUAAUCAAUCAAGAUUAUUCAAUGUUAUUGUUAAUGGAGAGCUCUAGUUUGAAGAUAUUGCUCCUCUCUACCGAAACACGACCACCAUAUUUAGCACUUCAGGCAAUUCUGGUUUUAGUCAAUACAAUUUUUCACUCGUUAAGCUUCAAAAUUCAACUCUGCCUCCUAUUUUGAAUGCCUUUGAAGUCUUCUACUCUGUCUUUCACACUUAGAGACAGACAUAAAUGAUAGUAUACACUGAAUUCAAUCACCAAUAUAAAGUCAACUUACGGAGUAAAGAGAAAUUGGGACGGAGACCCUUGUGCCCCUGUGGAAUACUUGUGGAUUGGCCUAAAUUGUAGCUCAAUGAUUUUGAUCCUCCAAUGAUUAUAUCCUUGAACUUGUCAUCGAGUGUAUUGACUGGCAAUGUAACUACACAUAUCAAAACUCUCUAGGAUUCAAUCUCUGGAUUUGUUUCAGGGUGUUGAAAAUGGUACAGGCUUCGGAGACGCAAUGGCAGCACGAUUUAUUUAUGGAUCAAGGGGUUGCUUUCUCUGGUUAGCCUGGCCGAGCUUUUGCAAUUGAAACAGGGACAAAGCUUUACAUAUCAAUCUUGGAAUAUAGUGUUUCAAACGAGGAUAUUAAGGUCCCUAUUAUUUCUAAUUAUAUUUUUUUCUCUUCAUAUAUACAUAAUCAAAAGAUUAUAAGAUUAUAAGUCACUUUU